ACUCCUACGGGAGGCAGCAGUGGGGAAUAUUGCACAAUGGGCGCAAGCCUGAUGCAGCCAUGCCGCGUGUAUGAAGAAGGCCUUCGGGUUGUAAAGUACUUUCAGUCAGUGAGGAAGGGUGGAGUCGUUAAUAGCGGCCUCAUUUGACGUUAGCAUGACAGAAGAAGCACCGGCUAACUCCGUGCCAGCAGCCGUGGUAAUACGGAGGGUGCGAGCGUUAAUCGGAAUUACUGGGCGUAAAGCGCAUGCAGGUGGUUUGUUAAGUCAGAUGUGAAAGCCCGGGGCUCAACCUCGGAA
rnacentral:rRNA from 1 species